GUAGGGAAUAUUGCACAAUGGGGGAAACCCUGAUGCAGCGACGCCGCGUGAGUGACGAAGGCCUUCGGGUUGUAAAGCUCUGUUGUACGGGAAGAAAUGCUAACGGCUAAUAUCCGUUAGUUUUGACUGUACUGUAUAAGAAAGGACCGGCUAACUUCGUGCCAGCAGCCGCGGUAAGACGAAGGGUCCUAGCGUUGUUCGGAAUCACUGGGCGUAAAGCGCUUGUAGGCGGCUUGGUAAGUCAGAUGUGAAAUCCCACGGCUUAACCGUGGAACUGCAUUUGAUACUGCUAAGCUUGAGUAUGGGAGAGGGUGGUAGAAUUCCUGGUGUAGUGGUGAAAUACGUAGAUAUCAGGAGGAACACCGGUGGCGAAGGCGGCCACCUGGCCCAAUACUGACGCUGAGAAGCGAAAGCGUGGGGAUCAAACAGGAUUAGAAACCCUAGUAGUCC
rnacentral:rRNA from 1 species